rnacentral:ncRNA from 1 species
CUUAUCGAGAGUGAUGGAGGGACUGGCCCAAUGAAAUCCGGCAACCAUACGAUGGUGCUAAAUCCUGCGGUACUUACCGAGAGAUAA